rnacentral:rRNA from 1 species
AAACGUAGGGGACAAGCGUUAUCCGGAUUUACUGGGCGUAAAGCGCACGUAGGCGGUGAGGCAAGUUGGCCGUGAAAGCUCCCGGCUUAACUGGGAGAGGUCGGACAAAACUGCCCCACUUGAGGCUGAGAGAGGAGAGCGGAAUUCUCGGUGUAGUGGUGGAAUGCGUAGAUAUCGGGAGGAACACCAGUGGCGAAGGCGGCUCUCUGGCUCAGAACUGACGCUGAGGUGCGAAAGCGUGGGGAGCGAACGGGAUUAGAUACCCCGGUAGUCCACGCUGUAAACGAUGGAUACCAGGUAUAGGGGGUCAUUAACCCCUUCUGUGCCGGAGUAAACACAAUAAGUAUCCCGCCUGGGGAGUACGACCGCAAGGUUGAA